UGGACACCUGCUGGCCACCAGGAGGAACUGCAAGUCUCCUCUGGUCCGCGGUUCUCCCUUAUCUGCCAUCACUUUCAUCUCCUCGCACCGACCUUGACUUUGGAUCCGUCGCCUCUGACCCUUCCCCUUUGGGGUCUGCUUCCCCAAAUCUGUACAUUGACCCUUCUGUACCUUGUACCUUUCGUGUUGACUUUGGCUUGGGUCAUCCCCAGGGUCGCAGAGGAAUCCUCUGUCCCAGCGGAUGCAGACUCACUGUCCUUCCUAGGAGCUCCGUCCAUCAGGAAUCCAGGCAGGCACCGGCACCACCGAGCUAAAUCCCUGGCAGUUCAGACUGAUUUUGAGCUCAUCGUGUAGCCCACCCCAGGCUGGCCUCAAACUCGAAGCAGUCCUCCUGCCUCUGCCUCCUACGUGCUGGGAUUACAGGUGUGUGUGCCAUCCUGCCCAACCCCAUUUUAAAAUUGAGCUAUAGUUUUAAGAAUCUAUUUUAAGUGUUAGUUUCUUACUAGAUACAUAGUUUGCAAGUAUUUUCUCCCAUUUGGUAGGUUGCUUUUGUCCUUUGCUGUGCAGUUCUGAAGUUCAGUGUGGUCCUGUUUGUUCUUUUUGGUGUCAUCCAUCACCACAUCCAACAUCAUGAAGCUUCCCCUACAAGUUUUCUUUUAGGGUUUUUACAGUUACAGGUCUAUUUCUGCAUCUUUAAUCUGUUUGAGUUAAUUUUUGUAGGUGAUGUAAGAUAAGGAUCUAACUUCAUUCUUUUUCCUGCCCAUGGCCUAUUUUCCCAGCACCAUUUACUGAAGAGAUAGGAAGUUUUUAAAGCAUAGCAAGGAGCUCAGUGGUGCCACCACCUGCCCUGAAAGCGCAAGGACCUGAGUUCGAUCCUUGGUACCAAAAAAAAAAAAAAAAGCAUAGCAAGAAUUCAAAGGCCCUCAAGUUCCACACUAGAGAGAAGCACAGCAUAUGUGUUCAUAUGAGUAUAAAACAGUGCCAUAUAUUUAUUCUGAGGUAUGGUGACUUUCACAUAUUUUAAUAAACUAGAAAUUGGGGUGGUGACUUAUUCCAAUUGAUGGCGUCUCACAACUAAUUGGCAAUUUUUUUUUAGUGGAACAUAAAAUAGUUUUAAAAAUCAGUUUGAUUAAAUAGAGGAUAGCCGUAGUAGGAUAGCCAGGCAUGGUGGCACACACCUAUAAUUGCAGCACUCUGGGAGGCUGAGGCAGGGGGAGCACAAAUUCAAGCCCAGCCUGGGCAACUCACUGAUUUAGCAAGAUCGUAUCUUAAAAAUAAACAGCCAUGGGGAUGUAGCUCAGUGUGAAGGCCCUGGGUUCAAUAGCUAGUAUACUGCAAAAUAAAAAGCGGAAAACCUAAAAACAUAAGUACAGCUGGAUGGGAGAGUCAGACUCGUCAUUUUCACGCUUGUAUGAUUUUGCAGUGUUCUGAUUUUCCUAAUGUUGUGGGACACACGUUUUCCACAUCCUUACAUAUGGAUCUUUCCCUUUGCUCCAUACUGGCCAGAGGGACACUGUGCUUGUUUGGAGGCAGAGGGUGAAAGGGAAUUCUCUGUGCUUUGCCCUCAG
rnacentral:lncRNA from 1 species